rnacentral:rRNA from 1 species
CCUACGGGGGGCAGCAGUGAGGAAUAUUGGUCAAUGGGCGCGAGCCUGAACCAGCCAAGUCGCGUGAGGGAAGACGGUCCUAUGGAUUGUAAACCUCUUUUGUCGGGGAGCAAAAGACGCCACGCGUGGCGUUCCGAGAGUACCCGAAGAAAAAGCAUCGGCUAACUCCGUGCCAGCAGCCGCGGUAAUACGGAGGAUGCGAGCGUUAUCCGGAUUUAUUGGGUUUAAAGGGUGCGCAGGCGGAAGAUUAAGUCAGCGGUAAAAUUGAGAGGCUCAACCUCUUCGAGCCGUUGAAACUGGUUGUCUUGAGUGGGCGAGAAGUAUGCGGAAUGCGUGGUGUAGCGGUGAAAUGCAUAGAUAUCACGCAGAACUCCGAUUGCGAAGGCAGCAUACCGGCGCUCAACUGACGCUCAUGCACGAAAGUGUGGGUAUCGAACAGGAUUAGAUACCCCAGUAGUC